GACGAACGCUGGCGGCGUGCCUAAUGUAUGCAAGUCGCACGGGUCUCCUUCGGGAGGUCAGUGGCGAACGGCUGCGGACCACGUGGGGACCUAUCCUUCAGUUGGGGACAACACCGCGAAAGCUGUGCUAAUCUCGCAUACGCUCCGCGGAGGAAAGCGUGCCGCCGGGGGCUGAAGACUGGCCCUGCGCCCCAUCAGGUGGUUGGCGGGGUAACGGCCUUCCAAGCCCGGGACGGGUGGCUGAGCUGUGAGGACGACCGCCCAGACUGGGAAUGAGAUACGGACCAGACUCGUACGGAAGGCAGCAGAAAGGAAUAUUAGGGAAGGGGGGCAAGCCUGACAGAGCAACGCGGGGUGCGAGAGGACGGGGGUCGGGUUGUAAACCGGUUUGGGGGGGGAAGAAACAGACGGUACCGGCUGAAGCAGCACCGGCUAACUCUGUG
rnacentral:rRNA from 1 species